rnacentral:rRNA from 1 species
CCUACGGGUGGCAGCAGUGAGGAAUAUUGGUCAAUGGCCGGAAGGCUGAACCAGCCAAGCCGCGUGAAGGACGAAGGUGCCAAGCAUUGUAAACUUCUUUUGUCAAGGGACAAAAUCAGGCUCGAGAGCCUGACCGAGGGUACUUGAAGAAAAAGCAUCGGCUAACUCCGUGCCAGCAGCCGCGGUAAUACGGAGGAUGCGAGCGUUAUCCGGAUUUAUUGGGUUUAAAGGGUGCGUAGGCGGACUGUUAAGUCAGCGGUAAAAGCCCGGGGCUCAACCCCGUCCCGCCAUUGAAACUGGCGCUCUUGAGUGGUAGAGAGGUAUGCGGAAUGCGUGGUGUAGCGGUGAAAUGCAUAGAUAUCACGCAGAACUCCGAUUGCGAAGGCAGCAUGCCGGCUGCGGACUGACGCUGAGGCACGAAAGCGUGGGUAUCGAACAGGAUUAGAUACCCCAGUAGUC